UGCACCUGCGGUGCGGUAGCUGAGCGUGGAUAGAACACCCCCAGAAUAACCAGCAUUUCAAUUAGUAUAAUACUACAAGUGAAAAUAUAUUGUGGAUCAUUGAGACAGCAUGGUGUCCAGAGUCUUAUCCCGUUUUCCCACUUCCUCUGAGGGGACAGCAUCAGAUCCACUGAGGGGGCAUGCAGAAAGACCUGCACCAUCUUCAUCCACGCUGGGUGUUGCUGUUAUCACUUGCUCAGUGUCAUUUCAUUUGACCAAAUGUCUUUACAUAUACAUUUAAUAUAUUUUAUUAUUAUCCACCUUUUUGUUUUAUGUCCUUUUAUUUAAAACAUUCUUUGAGACUUCAUCUUCUGGUUAAAAUUUCAAUAAUUGUAAUUUGUAUAAUCA